rnacentral:rRNA from 1 species
UUGAACGCUGGCGGCAGGCCUAACACAUGCACGUCGAGCGGAUGAAGGGAGCUUGCUCCUGGAUUCAGCGGCGGACGGGUGAGUAAUGCCUAGGAAUCUGCCUGGUAGUGGGGGAUAACGUCCGGAAACGGGCGCUAAUACCGCAUACGUCCUGAGGGAGAAAGUGGGGGAUCUUCGGACCUCACGCUAUCAGAUGAGCCUAGGUCGGAUUAGCUAGUUGGUGGGGUAAAGGCCUACCAAGGCGACGAUCCGUAACUGGUCUGAGAGGAUGAUCAGUCACACUGGAACUGAGACACGGUCCAGACUCCUACGGGAGGCAGCAGUGGGGAAUAUUGGACAAUGGGCGAAAGCCUGAUCCAGCCAUGCCACGUGUGUGAAGAAGGUCUUCGGAUUGUAAAGCACUUUAAGUUGGGAGGAAGGGCAGUAAGUUAAUACCUUGCUGUUUUGACGUUACCAACAGAAUAAGCACCGGCUAACUUCGUG